rnacentral:rRNA from 1 species
GCAGUUAAAGCUCGUAGUUGGAUUUUGGUUAAGAGGGCGCGGUCGGCCGUUUGGUCUGUACUGCGUUGUCUUGACUUCCUGAUGAGGACAUGCUCUUGGUUAACGCUGAGACAUGGAGUCAUCGUGGUUACUUUGAAAAAAUUAGAGUGUUCAAAGCGGGCUUACGCUUGAAUAUAUUAGCAUGGAAUAACACUAUAGGACUCCUGUCCUAUCUCGUUGGUCUCGGGAUGGGAGUAAUGAUUAAGAGGAACAGUUGGGGGCAUUCGUAUUUCAUUGUCAGAGGUGAAAUUCUUGGAUUUAUGAAAGACGAACUUCUGCGAAAGCAUUUGCCAAGGAUGUUUUCAUUAAUCAAGAACGAAAGUUGGGGGCUCGAAGAUGAUUAGAUACCAUCCUAGUCUCAACCAUAAACGAUGCCGACUAGGGAUUGGUGGAUGUUAAUUGAUGACUUCACCAGCACCUUAUGAGAAAUCAAAGUUUUUGGGUUCCGGGGGGAGUAUGGUCGCAAGGCUGAAACUUAAAGGAAUUGACGGAAGGGCACCACCAGGCGUGGAGCCUGCGGCUUAAUUUGACUCAACACGGGGAAACUUACCAGGUCCAGACAUAAGUAUGAUUGACAGAUUGAGAGCUCUUUCUUGAUUCUAUG